rnacentral:tRNA from 1 species
GGAGAGGUGACCGAGCUGGCUGAAGGUGCACGACUGGAAAUCGUGUGAGGGGUUUAUAGCUCCUCCAAGGGUUCGAAUCCCUUCCUCUCCG